UAUCAGGCACGCCCAAAACAUCUAGCCAUGCCACACCCAGGGUACUCAGCAGUGAUUAACAUUAAAUAAACGCCAGUUUGAUUUAGCURAUGAAAACAGAGCUGGCCAAUCCGGUGCCAGCCGCCGCGGGCACACCAAGACUCAAGUUGAUCCGGCGUAAAGCGUGAUUAGAAGGUUAAACUUAAACUAAGCUGUGGAAGCUUGUUUUAGGAAACGCACCCCGAAAGGAACCCCAACUCACCCAUUCGAACCCACGACAGUUAGGACACAAACUGAGAUUAGACACCCCACUAUGCCUAACCGUAAAUCUUAAUUUACCGCCAGGAAACUACGAGCAAAGCUUAAAACCCAAAAGACUUGACGGUACCCCACAUCCCCCUAGAGGAGCCUGUCCUACAACCGAUAAUCCGCGUUUAACCCAACCAUUUUUUGCUCAGCCUGUAUACUUCCGUCGUCAGUUCACCGCAUGAGCGAAAGUGGGCUCAAUAGCCACCACCAAUACGUCAGGUCAAAGUGCAGCAAAUAAAAUGGCCAGAGAUUGGCUACACUUUCUAUAGAAGAAACAGAAGAUUAAAUGAAAUAUCAAAAGGUGGAUUUAGAAGUAAGAGAUUAAAAGUGCUUCUCUUAAUGGCACUGGGGUAUGUACACACCGCCCGUCACCCUCU
rnacentral:rRNA from 1 species